rnacentral:snRNA from 1 species
AGCUUUGCACAGUGGCAGUAUCAUAGCCAAUGAGGUUUAACUGAAGUGUGAUUAUUGCUAAUUGAAACAAUUUGUUCAGCUAUUCUCCAAUUGAUGGCAAUCCCUUCAAUUUUCAAUUCUUUACCAUCACAAAAAGAGCAGCUAUAAAUAUUUUUGUACAAGUAGGUCUUUU